rnacentral:rRNA from 1 species
GGUUGGGAAAAUAUCUUAAAAGCACUCAAUCUCAUCAGAUCUUAUGAGCUAAGCAGAGUAAACUCAGGUUAGUGCUUGGAUGGGAGACUACCAAUGAAUACCUAGUGCUCUAGGU